rnacentral:lncRNA from 1 species
GGUAGAGGGUAUGGCAGAAUCAGACCGCUCCACAGGAUCCGAUCAAGUACACCGAUGGCUCCAUUAAUACACAUAUUGUGGCUGAUAGAUUGAUAAAAGAUCUACACUUAAAUUAAUUUCAUAUUGAAUUGAUUAUAUAUAUAUUUUUAUUAAUUUAAUUUUAUUAUUUAUUUAUUAUAGAUAUGAUAGCUGAAUCAUGCAUUAGGACAGCUG